UUUUUGCUCCUUUUGACUUAACUUCAUAAAGUCCCUGGCACUUAGACAAAUGUGAUUAGCACACAAAACAAUUUACUAAGUGUCCAGAGCUUUCCUUUUUACGUGGUCUAUAUAGAUUUGCGCUAUGUCCUCUUUCGAGCUCACUUUGCUUAAUAUACAUAUGCUCACUUCUCAUGUUAGUCUAAAUGACAUGUGUUGAGCAUCUAAUCACCAUAACAAUAUCGAAAUGGUCUAAGGGCACAUUUCCCUUUCAAUCUCUCCCUUUUUGGUGAUUUAUGCCAACACAUAAAAAAGCAACUCAUAUUGAACUAACAUAAGAAAACAAGAUAUUCUUUUUUUCUCCCUUUUUAUUCUCUAAUUUUCUUAUUUUUUUUCUUUUUUGUGCAGUUUUUUUGCACUUACCUUUUUAUAUUCUUUUUUUCACAAAAGUGUUGCAAAAACAAGAUAUAACACAAGAGUAUAAAAAAAUUAUCAUCCUCUAUGUGACAGAAUUUUUGCUCUAACUUCAACAGACUGUUUGACCAAUUUAUAGACCUCCAACGCAAAAACUCACAACACGAAAGUUGUAGGUUUCGUUUAUCUUUCUUUUAGUUAUAUAGGUCACCUAUUUUGGAUAAAGUAAGUAGAAGAUAUUGACCCCAAAAUAUAGGGUGGUCCAAAAUUUCAUGAUGACAACAAAUUUACUUCCAAUAUAGAUAACCCCUUAAUAAUUACAUUUUCUGGAAAUAUCGUAAAUAAGAAAGUUGUAUAUAACUUUGUAACCUUUCCAAAAAUACAAGAACACUAAAUUCCGAGUUAUUAUGCGAGAUUUAUGCUCAAAAUACCAAACUGGACAGAAACUAAUCUGAUAACGACGAGAUAAAGAGAUGGAAAAGGUUGAGAUUAGUUUUGGCAAAUAAAUUUGUGGGAUCGCAGCGGAUGAAAAGGAUUAAACUGACCCUAAACAAAUCUAAACUAGCAACAAGACAUUGGCCUAGGACACAAACUCAAUACGGCAGAAUCUGAAACUAAAUUGUGCAAAGGCUAAGACGAAGUCUGUAGGUCAGGAUACACUAAUGGUUUUUAGGGUUAUGAUAAAAUGUUAAGACUCUUUAUUCUUUGGUUUUUUGUGGGUUAUAGGACGAACACAAUGAAUCUAAAUGUUGGAUUAUACCUUAGGGCAACCUAAAUCCUGAUACUACCUAAUAGAGGGCAAGACCUGAUCUUCUGUAAGGUAGGAUAACUUGAUUUGGUGGAAAUCUCGAUGUUGAUGAUCCAAGGCUCCAAGCGAACGGAUCCUCGUAAUCACUACACCACUAUUCAGUUGGUUAUCAUCCGUGCCACACGAGUGACCUCACCAUGAAGGCUUAUCCCUGCAAGGGCAACUAAGAACACAAGCAAGAACAUGAAAGAACGCAAUCAAAACUGUAUUGAUCAUGAGGUGGGGUCUCACAAAACGAUGAACGACGACACUAUUCGAUGACAGAUAUGAUCUAAGCAUAACCCCAAACUCUAAUGUGGCGG
rnacentral:lncRNA from 1 species